rnacentral:rRNA from 1 species
GAUGAACGCUAGCGACAGGCCUAACACAUGCAAGUCGAGGGGUAACGACAGAUUAGCUUGCUAAUCUGGGCGACGACCGGCGCACGGGUGCGUAACGCGUAUGCAACCUACCCAUUACAGGAGGAUAGCCCAGAGAAAUUUGGAUUAAUACUCCAUAGUAUUUGUUUAAAGCAUUUUAGACGUUUUAAAGGAUUCGUUCUGGUAAUGGAUGGGCAUGCGUAUGAUUAGUUAGUUGGUAGGGUAACGGCCUACCAAGGCGAUGAUCAUUAGGGGUUCUGAGAGGAUAGUCCCCCACACUGGUACUGAGACACGGACCAGACUCCUACGGGAGGCAGCAGUGAGGAAUAUUGGUCAAUGGGCGAGAGCCUGAACCAGCCAAGUCGCGUGCAGGAAGACUGCCCUAUGGGUUGUAAACUGCUUUUAUAUAGGAAUGAUGUGAGUUACGCGUAACUUUAUGAAUGUACUAUAUGAAUAAGCACCGGCUAACUCCGUGCCAGCAGCCGCGGUAAUACGGAGGGUGCAAGCGUUAUCCGGAUUUAUUGAGUUUAAAGGGUGCGUAGGCGGGUUUGUAAAGUCAGUGGUGAAAGUCUGUCGCUUAACGAUAGAAUUGCCAUUGAAACUGCGGAUCUUGAAUACAGUAGAGGUAGGCGGAAUAUAUUGUGUAGCGGUGAAAUGCAUAGAUACGAUAUAGAACACCAAUUGCGAAGGCAGCUUACUAUGCUGAGAUUGACGCUGAUGCACGAAAGCGUGGGUAGCGAACAGGAUUAGAUACCCUGGUAGUCCACGCCGUAAACGAUGAUCACUGGAUGUUGGCGAUACACCGUCAGUGUCUGAGCGAAAGUAUUAAGUGAUCCACCUGGGGAGUACGUUGGCAACAAUGAAACUCAAAGGAAUUGACGGGGGCCCGCACAAGCGGAGGAACAUGUGGUUUAAUUCGAUGAUACGCGAGGAACCUUACCCGGGCUUAAAUGUAGAGUGCAUGACUCAGAGAUGGGUCUUUCUACGGACUCUCUACAAGGUGCUGCAUGGUUGUCGUCAGCUCGUGCCGUGAGGUGUCGGGUUAAGUCCCAUAACGAGCGCAACCCUUACCGUUAGUUACCAUCAGGUAGAGCUGGGGACUCUAGCGGGACUGCCACCGUAAGGUGAGAGGAAGGUGGGGAUGACGUCAAAUCAGCACGGCCCUUACGUCCGGGGCUACACACGUGUUACAAUGGUGAGGACAAAGGGUAGCUACACAGCGAUGUGAUGCGAAACUCGAAACCUCAUCUCAGUUCGGAUUGGAGUUCUGCAACUCGACUCCAUGAAAGUUGGAUUCGCUAGUAAUCGGAUAUCAGCAACGAUCCGGUGAAAUACGUUCCCGGGCCU